CGUGCCGAGGUCAACGCGACAGUAUCGAAUAGCGUCGGUGAUGUGGAUCAACAUGUUUUUGAUUGUGAAUCUGUUUCUGUAUCAUUGAUCUUUGCUGUGCAAGGAUCCUUGUGGUAUCAUCUCUGCCUGGCAGUCAUGUGAGAAGACAGGGAUCCCAAGAGUACUAAUAAGUAGAAAUGAAAGGGAGAAUCCCUCGCACAUAAACAGACCCUAAUGAAUCUUGCUAGCCACAAGCUCUAUCAAUGAACUUCUGUGACUUUAGUACAAUGUUGAAUUUUAUAGAACAUUACAUCAAGGACACUGGAAGAUGUUGAAAAAUUGAACCAAGUACUAACYAAUCAGAGUGGACAACAUAUUGCUUGCAGUCUUAUAAUAAUCAAUUAAAAUUACCAGUCCUUCUCCAAUAU